GGUGAGAUGAAGUUAGGCUGUGUCAGAUGGGAGCUUGUCCGUGUGUGUGUAUGGGGGUGUGUGUGUGUGUGGGUGGGUGGGUGUGUGUGUUUGUAUGAGUGUGUGUGUGGAUAGAUGUGUUACAUCACGGAGGUGGUGUAUGGAUACACGUAUGCCUGUACCUACACUGAAAAGGCAAU
rnacentral:lncRNA from 1 species